rnacentral:tRNA from 1 species
GUGGGCGUAGCUCAGCGGUUAGAGCACCAGGCUGUGGCCCUGGGAGUCGGGGGUUCGAAUCCCCUCGCUCACC